rnacentral:rRNA from 1 species
GACUAACGCUGGCGGCGUGCUUAACACAUGCAAGUUGAACGGGGCACUGCGAGUAGCAAUACGAGCAGUGCUUAGUAGCGGACGGGUGAGUAACGCGUGAGCAACCUACCUUUGUGAGGGGGACAACAGCCGGAAACGGCUGCUAAUACCGCAUGAGGCCACGGCUCCGAUUGGAGCUGAGGUAAAAGAUUUAUCGCACAAAGAUGGACUCGCGUCCCAUUAGCUAGUUGGUGAGGUAACGGCCCACCAAGGCGACGAUGGGUAGCCGACCUGAGAGGGUGAUCGGCCACACUGGAACUGAGACACGGUCCAGACUCCUACGGGAGGCAGCAGUGGGGAAUAUUGGGCAAUGGGCGCAAGCCUGACCCAGCAACGCCGCGUGAGGGAAGAAGGUCUUCGGAUUGUAAACCUCUGUCCUAUGGGACGAAAAAAAUGACGGUACCAUAGGAGGAAGCUCCGGCUAACUACGUG